UACGGGGGGGGCAAGCGUUGUUCGGAAUUACUGGGCGUAAAGGGUUCGUAGGUGGCUUGCUUAGUCAGACGUGAAAUCCCUCAGCUUAACUGGGGAACUGCGUCUGAUACUGGCGAGCUUGAGUGCAGGAGAGGAACGCGGAAUUCCAGGUGUAGCGGUGAAAUGCGUAGAUAUCUGGAGGAACACCGGUGGCGAAGGCGGCAUCCUGGACCGGUAUUGACGCUGAGGCGCGAAAGCUAGGGGAGCAAACGGG
rnacentral:rRNA from 1 species